rnacentral:lncRNA from 1 species
GCCUGGCCAAUUUGAAAGAUUGAGUCCCAAAUAUGGUUGCUUGGUGGUUUGAUUUAGCCCAUGCUAAUUAGAUCAGUCAUAUGAUAACUGAUUAGAUGAGAUCUAAACUCAAAUCUCUUUGUAAAUAUUAAGUAUAAUGGUCUUCCACCAUUGUAGAUGUGCGGGCAUGCUACCGACGUUGAUUAUUCUUGGCUGAUCAUAGUGGUUCAGUUACAUC